rnacentral:rRNA from 1 species
ACACACACUUCAGAGUUUGAUCCUGGCUCAGGAUGAACGCUAGCGGCAGGCUUAACACAUGCAAGUCGAGGGGUAACGCGGGGUAGCAAUACUCUGGCGACGACCGGCGCACGGGUGCGUAACGCGUAUGCAACCUACCUGUAACAGGGGUAUAACGGAGAGAAAUUUCCACUAAUCCCCCAUAUUGUUAGAGAUUCGCAUGUUUCUCUAACGAAAGCUUCGGUGGUUACGGAUGGGCAUGCGUGACAUUAGCUAGUUGGUAAGGUAACGGCUUACCAAGGCGACGAUGUCUAGGGGAGCUGAGAGGCUUAUCCCCCACACUGGUACUGAGACACGGACCAG